ACCUUAUGGAUGUGAUGUUUGCAACCAACGAUUUUUGCAAUCGAGAAUCUUAGCUGCCCAUAAGAGAACACAUACUGGAGAGAAACCUUAUGACUGUGAUGUUUGCAACAAACGAUUUUUGCAUUCAGGCCACUUAGCGGUCCAUAAGAGAACACAUACCGGAGACUAACCUUAUGAAUGAUUGAAUGUGAUGUUUGCAAGAAGACAUUCACAAAACAACAAAGUCUCAAACGUCACUGGAGAUCACACUUGAGAGAUGGCUUAUUAUUGUGCCACACCUGUGGCAAAGAAAUUAUUCAAUCCCAAGGACAUGCUAGUGAGAUACUGAGUGAUGGUCAUUUUGUCUGUGACAAAUGCAACAAACAGUUCGGGUCAGUUCCCUGAUAUUGAGAGUUUAUAUCAGCACAAGGCCAAAGACCAUGGUACGUCCUACCAAUGUGAUGUCUGUAAGG